rnacentral:rRNA from 1 species
UACGUAGGGCGCGAGCGUUGUCCGGAAUUAUUGGGCGUAAAGAGCUCGUAGGCGGUCUGUCGCGUCUGCUGUGAAAACUCGGGGCUUAACCCCGGGCCUGCAGUGGGUACGGGCAGACUAGAGUGCGGUAGGGGAGACUGGAAUUCCUGGUGUAGCGGUGAAAUGCGCAGAUAAUCAGGAGGAACACCGGUUGGCGAAGGGCGGGUCUCUGGGCCGAUACUGACGUGAGGAGCGAAAGCGUGGGGAGCGAACAGG